UCAGUCAAGACUUGAUAAUUAGAUAAUUUCUUUACCCUGAUGAUUUUGAAAGAAUGUUAUGUUACAGAAAUAGAAAAGUUUUAUUUACAUGUUAAUGUGCAUUCAAAUCCCCCUUAACUAUUGAUAAUAAUUUCUAUAUUAAUAUCAUACUUUGAAUAGCCUAUACAUAAUAUAUCCUCAACUCAUUUAAGUUUUAAAACUUCUCUAUUAUGUUUUAAUAUCUUGACAACUAAAAAUGCUGUAAAAAUUAAAAAUUAAAAAAAGUUGGUUUAUUAAGAUUAUUAAUUAAUUAAUUAAUAUUAAGAUUCUAAUAUAGAAAUCUUGCCUAUGCAAUAUUUUCCCAGUUUGAAAAGAAGAAAUGAAUACUGCCCACGAUUAACCCCAUGGUCGCCGAAGGUCAGCAAAAAGCUUUCAAUAACUUUUUCAGCCUUUAAGUUACAAAAUAGAGAUCUAUAUUUUAAACCAAACAAACUGUCUCUAUAGAAUUUAAUAUUGUAUACAUAAAUUAGGAAUGCAGUAUACAGCAGGAAUAACAUCCCCGAAAUCAGAUAUUCCAUUGCACUGUUGUUCAUCAUGUGCCUUGCAGCUUUUUAUUGAUCAGAAAGUCCCUGAUUCUGACUAGCUUGUCUUAGUUUAACUACAGUCACCACAACAGGACCUUUGACUCUGCUCUAUGGACUGAAAGUAAAUGAUAAUGGAUAGAAAUGUCUUUUACAGUAAAUGUGCUUCACAAAUUUGGUUUCUGGUAACAAAAUUUGGUGGGUGACAGACUCUGUAUUUGAGGGUCUUUGUGAUUUUUAUGUAUUUUUUAUUAAGUUAAUAUGUUAACUUCAAUAUGCACUCACAAUUUGCUUAAAACCUAUCAUUGGCAAAAUUUUGUGUGACCAAUGUGACAUCACAAAUAGAGAGGGUUGUGAUCAAUGCCAACAUUCAGCAGCUGAUGACCCGACUCAACCUGUUCUCCCUCAUCCUAGCAUCAGUGCUCAUUGCUAGCGGAAUCAUGUUGAAGAGGUUUCCAAAAGGAUAUCAGACAGGACUUUGAAUCUCCUUAUACAGUAGAACUUCAGUAGAUCAUUCUUACUCUCUCGCACCAGAUGUUUGGGCUCUUUCGAGACUUAUCACCAUUUGCAACAACAACAAACUAUGGGAACGUACUGAGAUGAACUGUGACUUGUGGAAAAUACCUCCCAGGUGUCCUUAAUCUUGAAGUCAGAUCCCCGAGGUCACAUCACUAUGGAGACGGAACUAAGGGCUGGCCUGUCUAAAGCUGCCAUUGUGGCUAUUGUGUGUAACUCAGUAGUAGCUGUCCUUAUUCUCAUUCUCUUUGUUAUACUGUACAAGGCCUGCAAAAUCCCCUCUUCUCCAGAGAGGGCCCCUGUUCUGAUAGAGACUCAGGAGCCAUUGAAAAGUGAACAAAAAUACUUACUAACUGCAGCCGGAGACUAAAAAGUUUAUAUGUGAAUGCAGAGCAUUGCAUAAAUUCUCAGAGUGCCGGACAACUCUGAGACUCCCUUUCCCACAAAUGAUAAGUAUAGAACAUUAAGCAGAUUGGACCACUGAGGACACUACUUACCACUACUACAGCGUUUGUGUCUUUUUCCCUAUUAAGACAUUCAUUUGAAUUAUGUGAACUAAAUUCACUUAAAAACUGUAACUAAUCAUUCUGCAGGUCAUUUUGAAAAGUGACGGGCAGGAAACAAAUUCCAAAUGUUCAAACAUUAAAACUAUAAAAAAAGUUUUGAACUUUUACUUAUUAUUUCAAAGUCAAACUAAAAUUAUGGAAGCUAUAGUCAAUGAAUGAUUUUUAAAUGUUUAAAAAUGAAGUUUAUGAAGCACCAGCCCUAUCUCAUAAAACUCUGUGUAUAUGUACUGUAUACUGUAGUCAUGAACAUUGGUCUGUGUUUGUGUGUAUGUGAUAUUUAACAGGAGGACCAUUACGUAAAGACAGCAAAGCCUCUUAUCCAUUUUGCUGUGCUUGCACAGGCCAUCUGUUGGUCUAUUUAUUGCUUUGCACUUGACUCUUCGUUGGACUUUUUGGUAGUCUAUCAGUUUCCCUUAUGUGUAACAGUAGGCAAUGAAACAAAGUGCAAAUUUGUCCCAGCUAUGCAGCAAAGGACAAUUUGAAAUGCCAAACUUGACUGAAAAGUACAUCACAAACGUUACAUCAAAGUUAAAACUCAAGUCUUAAAAAUAUUUUGAGUUUUCAUGGAGAAAUAGAUUAGGGGUUAUGGAAUGAAGAAUGGUAUUUUUUUUAAAUCUUAUUUUAACCAUGGUUGUGUUGCAUGAGGGUUCUUGGAUAUGUUUACAUUUUUACAAUGAAAAAUGUUAAAGACUAAACAUGCAAACUCAGAAGGUAUCUAGCUGUAUUAGUCUUAUUUAGCCUCAGAUAUUGUUUAUAGGGUAGUAGGCUGAGUAUGAUGGACAGCCACAUGCACAUUUUCUAACUUCUAAGACUCUGUAGCACUACAACUCCUAAUAGCUUUCAAUAGGAUUAUGAGAUAUGGGCACAAGAGCUCAGCUUUGUGAAAGGUAGCUGCUAAAAUGUAUUGUAAUAACAAUCACAUUUUCUUAUAUAUGUUGUCAUCAGACUUAACAUUUGUCUGCCAAUAGUUGUAUAUUUUGAGUUAGGAUAUUGUAUAUCAGCUAUUGUAUAUUGUAUAUAUAUAUAUUGUUUACAUACAGUAGGCGAUAUAUUAGAAUUACUUUGUGAUGCCCGUAAUGAAAGUCUGUCAACUGUACUUUGUAAUGUAAGUUCAUCUGGUAAAAUAUAUAGAAACAAUGUCACAUAUAUGACAUGAUAAAGUCAGAUAAGUCAUGACAAUGAAGUGUCUAGCAAAAGUGUAUUUAAUUAAAAUUGUGACCAAAGGUUACAAAUGAAUUUAAAAAUCUUAAUUAGAGGUGUAAAUUUUUAAGGAGAAAAUGUUUCAGGGAAAAUGGUAUGGUAAAUAACAUGUAGCUGUACAUCUGGCGUAGUUAAGAGUGCUGAACACAUACAAAAUAUUACAUACGCUUUGAGCCACUAAAAAAUCCAGAUUACUAAUAACUAUAACGCGAAUCCCCCAUCUCUGCAGCUGUCAUGGUUGAAUAUCUUUUAAAGGAAGAUAGCAAAUAUAUUCCCGAUGCAUAGAGCAAAUAUGAUAUUGUUAUGUCUACAUACAGGAAAGUGUCUGUAAUAAUUUAUUUGUUUAUGUGUAGUUAUUAUACCAAAUGCUUAUACCUAAUCUGAGAAAAGUUAUGAAUGAUGUAAAUAAAAAAUGUACGGAUUUUGGA